rnacentral:rRNA from 1 species
AUACGGAGGAUCCGAGCGUUAUCCGGAUUUAUUGGGUUUAAAGGGUGCGCAGGCGGGAGAUUAAGUCGGCGGUGAAAUUUUGCAGCCCAACUGUAAAAGUGCCUUCGGAACUGGUUUCCUUGAGUGUAGAUGAAGUAGGCGGAAUUUGUGGUGUAGCGGUGAAAUGCAAAGAUAUCACGAGGAAAUCCGAUUGCGCAGGCAGCUUACUAAACUACUACUGACGCUCAGGCACGAAGGCGUGGGGAUCAAACAGGAUUAGAUACCCUGGUAGUCCACGCAGUAAACGAUGAUUACUGGCUGUUUGCGAUACAAUGUAAGCGGCUGAGCGAAAGCGUUAAGUAAUCCACCUGGGGAGUACGUUCGCAAGAAUGAAACUCAAAUGAAUUGACGGGG